GUCUAGGGGUAUGAUUUUCGCUUCGCAUUAUUUGACAAAAUGUGUCUGUGAAAGGUCCGGGGUUCAAAUCCCCG
rnacentral:tRNA from 1 species